GAUGAACGCUGGCGGCGUGCUUAACACAUGCAAGUCGAGCGAAGCGAUUUUAAGGAAGCCUUCGGGUGGAAUUAAAAUUGACUUAGCGGCGGACGGGUGAGUAACACGUGGGUAACCUGCCUCAUACAGGGGGAUAACAGUUAGAAAUGACUGCUAAUACCGCAUAAGCGCACAGUGCUGCAUAGCACAGUGUGAAAAACUCCGGUGGUAUGAGAUGGACCCGCGUCUGAUUAGGUAGUUGGUGAGGUAACGGCCCACCAAGCCGACGAUCAGUAGCCGACCUGAGAGGGUGACCGGCCACAUUGGGACUGAGACACGGCCCAAACUCCUACGGGAGGCAGCAGUGGGGAAUAUUGGACAAUGGGGGAAACCCUGACCCAGCGACGCCGCGUGACUGAAGAAGUAUUUCGGUAUGUAAAGGUCUAUCAGCAGGGAAGAAAAUGACGGUACCUGACUAAGAAGCCCCGGCUAACUACGUGCCAGCCGCCGCCGUAA
rnacentral:rRNA from 1 species